rnacentral:lncRNA from 7 species
GUGAGAAACAUGCUGUCCUCAGCCAAAUGCCUGCUCUCAAGCGUUAUUUGAACAGUUUCCUAAACAUCUCUCUGCAAAGUCCUGUAAUGAAAGGAGUGGUUUCCUUUGGCUCCCUUCCCAGACCUACCCAACAGAAGGAUGCUGACCUAAGGCUGUUAAACACUUUGAUGUAUGGCCGCGUCUCCUUAAGUAGAAGAUCCAUAUUCUUAAGCUAAGCUGCCAUGACACGGGGACAUUAUGAACUCUCUGAACCAACUGAAUCCUACAAAUGAGCCAUUAGUUGGCUGCACGGCGCGUUGGCUCCCUGCGCCCAAGGGGGCUCCCGUUAAAGAAGAUAAUCGUUGCUGUCCACACGCCCUGCGGGCUGCUGUGUGUUCAUUUUAAUGCAAUUUGUUUCAGCCAACCCCUUUCCAAGUCAGAAAACCCCCACGCUGCUGGGCUGGGGGGAGCUGUGGUUCUAUGGUGCCCAAUGAAGGAGGGUUCAGUGAGUUUUGCCUUUCUCCUUGGACUGGAAACUGGAGGAAGAUCUACCCAUCAUUCAUCAAGACAUGACUUCUAUUUGCCCUGAUGCCAAAUGCUAUGUGUGGCUCAUGGUAGCUGUGCCUGAGGUACCCAUUGGAAACCAGCGUCAUUGAGAGGAGAUGCCGUGGGGUAUUUGGAGAUGCUGAAAGCAGCAAAUGGGAGAUCCUGGAAGCUGCAAACACUGAGCACUGAGCCCAGCUCAUGCUCUCAGGCAGCUGUGGUGCAUCUCCGUGCUCCCCUGAGCCACAUGCAGGUGCUGGGGAGAGCAUCUUGGAGAGAUGCUCUGGUUGAAAGGAGCACUGUGGAGUCUUAGUAUGAAAAAAAAACCUAGAAAAAAGGCUAGGAGAGGAAAAAAGUGUAAAAAUGACCGAUUUUUAUCAAGUAAGGGUAAGAUCUCAUCCAGCAAGCCCAGCAUGCAGCAAAAGCCCUGGGAGGUUUUGCACACCCUGUGCAUCCCAGCAGCACUGCUCGCCUCUCUGCUGUGCGCCGUCUCUCUCUGCUCCCAGUGUGUUGGCUCCCCUGACAGGGCUCAUCUGUCUUGUGGCACUGUCUGCAUGCAGAAGUGUGAAACACAGAUCGUCGCUGCAGAAAGGGAGGACUUCUGGGUUGUUUAUUGCCUGGUGAGAAAGGGAAAAGGGGAUUCAGUUCCUGAGAGUAGCGCGUGUAAUGCUGGAUUACUCCGUGACCUCCUCUGCAGGCAGCUGUGGGGAGCCUCCUUCGAGGAAACUUGGGUCACUUGUGAUUCUAUGAUCUCCGUGCUGGGGGUGUAUGGGAGCGAAGUGGCCCAGUGUGGAACAACAGAACAAUGCACUCCAUCUCCUUCUGGAGAAGUGGCAUCUCACCAUGCCUGGGAACUCGAGGCAAAAUCCUUCCUGCUCCAUCAGGGAGAGAAAGUGGGGCAAAGCAGCAGUGUGACAACCACAUCCGAGAGGUGA